rnacentral:rRNA from 1 species
GAAUAUAAGUUAUUAUUAUUAAUUUUAAUUUUUAUAUUUUUAAAGAAAAAAAUUAAAUUUUUAUUAUUAUUGUAGAAAAAAUUUUUAUAAUUAUAGUUUAUUAGUAUUGUGAAAGAAAUAAUUAAUAUAUGUAUAAGAAAAAUUUAAAUUUUGUACCUUGGGUAUCAGGGUUAAUUUAAUAACAUUUUUAAAUAAAAAUUUCUCGAAUUUAAAAGAGUUAGUUAUUUAUAAAUUUAAUUGUAAAAUAAAUUUUUAAAAUAAAUAACUUGUAAUGAAACGUUAUUCGUUUUUAAAUAUAUCUAGUUUUUAAAGAAAAAAAUUUAAUUUUAUUAUUAAUAUUUAAAAAUUUAAUUUUUUAAUUUUUUAUUUAUUAAUAUUAAAUUUUAUUAGGGAUAAGCUUAAUAAGAAAGUAUUAUAAUUAACUUAAAUAAUAAAUAAUUUAUAAAAUUAGAAUUUUUUAUAAAUAAGAGAAUGUUAUAAUUUAUUAUAUUGAUUUUUUAUUUUUAUGUAAUUUAAUUUUUAUAUUUAAAUAUAAAUUUUAAUUUUAAAAAUUUAGUAGUUAUGAUUAAAUUAGUAUAGAUUUAUUGUAUUAUAUUAUGAUAUUAAUAUAGGUUAAUUUAAGGAACUCGGCAAAUUAUUUUUCACCUGUUUAUUAAAAACAUGUCUUUUUGAUUAUAAUUUAAAGUCUAAUCUGCCCACUGAUUGAUUAAAUGGCCGCGGUAUUUUGACCGUGCAAAGGUAGCAUAAUAAUUAGUUUUUUAAUUGAAAGCUGGAAUGAAUGAUUGAAUGAGAAAAUAACUGUCUCAAAUUAAUUUUUAGAAUUUUAUAUUUAAGUUAAAAAGCUUAAAUUUUAUUAAAAGACGAGAAGACCCUAUAGAGUUUAAUAAAUUAUUAUAUUUAAAUUUUUAGUUUUAAAUAUUUAAAUUUUUAUUGUUUAUU